CAGAACAUCAGUAGAAAGUUGAAGAAGAAAACACUGUGUGAAGAAACACUUCCUACUCCAUUAGAAAUGAUGGAGUUGGAAAAGUCUCUCCUUGUCCAAAGGCCCUGUUUCACAGGCUGCUUUCCAAGGACUCGCUGACCUUGAUAACUCUAUAGUGGACAUACUGAAGAUAAUAAGCAGCUGGUUUUGCCUGUGUCACAAGUUUUUUGAAAUUUGUGUAUGGAUGACCCAGCUGAAGAAUACUAAUACUGAAUGAAGAUGGAGGACAGAAACUAAGAUGUGUCAGUGGAGCAUAACAAAUCCACAGGAAGGGCUUAGUUUUACCGUAAUUUAUUUGCUACUUUAUUUCUGCAGUAAUUCUAAGCAAAGUUACGUAAGAAAUUAAAUUGUCACAAACACAAUAGAUGCUCAUUAUGAAUCAGAAAAUUAUUCUGAGCCGA